UACGAAGGGGGCUAGCGUUGUUCGGAAUCACUGGGCGUAAAGCGCACGUAGGCGGAUUUUUAAGUCAGGGGUGAAAUCCCGGGGCUCAACCUCGGAACUGCCUUUGAUACUGGAGAUCUUGAGUCCGGAAGAGGUAAGUGGAACUGCGAGUGUAGAGGUGAAAUUCGUAGAUAUUCGCAAGAACACCAGUGGCGAAGGCGGCUUACUGGUCCGGAACUGACGCUCAUGCACGACAGCGUGGGGAUCAAACAGG
rnacentral:rRNA from 1 species